AGCAGCCGCGGUAAUUCCAGCUCCAAUAGCGUAUAUUAAAGUUGUUGCAGUUAAAAAGCUCGUAGUUGAAUUUCGGGAUCAAUAUGUUGGUCGUGCCUUGGUACGUACUGGCAUUAUUGGUUUCUACCUUCUGAAGAACCUCGAUGUCAUUAAUUUGGUGUCUUGGGGAAUCAGGACUGUUACUUUGAAAAAAUUAGAGUGUUUAAAGCAAGCUAACGCUUGAAUACAUUAGCAUGGAAUAAUGAAAUAGGACGUUCGAUCCUAUUUUGUUGGUUUCUAGGAUUGACGUAAUGAUUAAUAGGGAUAGUUGGGGGCAUUAGUAUUCAAUUGUCAGAGGUGAAAUUCUUGGAUUUAUUGAAGACUAACUACUGCGAAAGCAUUUGCCAAGGAUGUUUUCAUUAAUCAAGAACGAAAGUUAGGGGAUCGAAGACGAUCAGAUACCGUCGUAGUCUUAACCAUAAACUAUGCCGACUAGGGAUCGGAUGAUGUAAUUUUUUAAUGACUCA
rnacentral:rRNA from 1 species